ACGUAGGAGGCGAGCGUUAUCCGGAUUUACUGGGCGUAAAGCGCGUGCAGGCGGUGCGAUAAGUCGUGCGUGAAAGCUCCCAGGCUUAACCGGGCGAGGACAAUGAAGACUGGUCAGCUAGAGGACGGUAGAGGGGUGUGGAAUUCCGGGUGUAGUGGUGAAAUGCGUAGAGAUCCGGAGGAACACCAGAGGCGAAGGCGACACCCUGGGCCGUACCUGACGCUAAGACGCGACAGCACGGGGAGCGAACGG
rnacentral:rRNA from 1 species